rnacentral:rRNA from 1 species
UUUAUUGGAGAGUUUGAUCCUGGCUCAGGAUGAACGCUGGCGGCGUGCCUAAUACAUGCAAGUCGAGCGAAUGGAUUAAGAGCUUGCUCUUAUGAAGUUAGCGGCGGACGGGUGAGUAACACGUGGGUAACCUGCCCGUAAGACUGGGAUAACUCCGGGAAACCGGGGCUAAUACCGGAUAACAUUUUGAACUGCAUGGUUCGAAAUUGAAAGGCGGCUUCGGCU